GAUGAACGCUGGCGGCGUGCCUAAUACAUGCGAGUCGAGCGAAUGGAUUAAGAGCUUGCUCUUAUGAAGUUAGCGGCGGACGGGUGAGUAACACGUGGGUAACCUGCCCAUAAGACUGGGAUAACUCCGGGAAACCGGGGCUCAUACCGGAUAACAUUUUGAACCGCAUGGUUCGAAAUUGAAAGGCGGCUUCGGCUGGCACUGAUGGAUGGACCCGCGUCGCACUAGCUAGUUGGUGAGGUAACGGCUCACCAAGGCAACGAUGCGUAGCCGACCUGAGAGGGUGAUCGGCCACACUGGGACUGAGACACGGCCCAGACUCCGACGGGAGGCAGCAGUAGGGAAUCUUCCGCAAUGGACGAAAGUCUGACGGAGCAACGCCGCGUGAGUGAUGAAGGCUUUCGGGUCGUAAAACUCUGUUGUUAGGGAAGGACAAGUGCUAGUUGAAUAAGCUGGCACCUUGACGGUACCUAACCAGAAAGCCACGGCUAACUACGUGCCAGCAGCCGCGGUAA
rnacentral:rRNA from 1 species